rnacentral:rRNA from 1 species
AUUGAACGCUGGCGGCAUGCUUUACACAUGCAAGUCGAACGGUAACAGGGAGCUUGCUCCGCUGACGAGUGGCGAACGGGUGAGUAAUGCAUCGGAACGUACCCAGUCGUGGGGGAUAACGUAGCGAAAGUUACGCUAAUACCGCAUACGUCCUGAGGGAGAAAGCGGGGGACCGUAAGGCCUCGCGCGAUUGGAGCGGCCGAUGUCGGAUUAGCUAGUUGGUGGGGUAAAGGCCUACCAAGGCGACGAUCCGUAGCGGGUCUGAGAGGAUGAUCAGCCACACUGGAACUGAGACACGGUCCAGACUCCUACGGGAGGCAGCAGUAGGGAAUAUUGGACAAUGGGCGCAAGCCUGAUCCAGCCAUGCCGCGUGAGUGAAGAAGGCCCUCGGGUUGUAAAGCUCUUUUGUCCGGAAAGAAAAGCGCCGGGUUAAUACCCUGGUGUCCUGACGGUACCGGAAGAAUAAGCACCGGCUAACUUCGUG